CAGCACACACUCAUCUUUUCUUCCAGAGGAGGUAGCUGUUCUCCAAGCAGGGCGCAGACCAGCGGGUUCCCUCAGUUUAAUGUAUAAAGAUCCCGGCUCGCCAGAUAAAGUGUUGUUGGAGGAGCUGGAGCUCACAUUCAGCAUUAGCAAAAUUCUGCUCUUACUUACACGCUAAAUUCUGUACCUAAUUGAUUUCUUGAAGAACGCUUUCAGUACAAAAACCUCUUGGAGAAUAUUUCUAUCAACUAGAUAAAAAAUAAGACGACAACAAAAGAACACAUUAAUACACAAGAUCUAUCAAAUGUGGAGGAAAGCCUGGUAACGAUACAGCUACGUGAUCUUUACACCCCAAUCUUGAGCAAGUACCAAAGGAGUAGAUCUUGGGAGCAGUCUGUAUGUUCAUUCCAGAGCUGGAGUCAGGAUAUUGUGAGCCCUGCUCAGCACAGUCUGGAAGCUUGGCUCAGUCCAAAGUAAAUAUAGAAAUAUGGGGAGAGACUCGUGUUGACAUCCUCACCAUGGAAGCCAACAUCAGAGGUUGGACUGCUGUGCUGCUGAGGGGAGUGGAGAGCCUCGGAGCACCUGUUGUCUCUGAAGGCUCUCCUUAUUCAUCUGGAGAACAGUAGUGCCAGCCUCAUGCCCAGAGGUGGACCAUUACAAGACCAACGGAGGCUUCGUCCUGACGUGGCCAAGUAGCCAUCACAACACUGCAUGGUUCUUCCUGGCACGCAAGACAAUCCACCCCAAAAUGUAGCUUCACACCUUUUUGUGACUCUACCAUGUCCUUCUCUUGCUGCAGAAGAUGAAGCAGGAGCACUUGUUCACUCUGGACCAUCAUCUCCAAGCCCAUCUAUCCCCAUCUCCCGGACAUCUGGGGUUCCUUUAAAGGGGUGUGCUUGCUGGGCAACAGAGGACUGGUGAGAAGAAUGGGAACCUUUCACGGAACGUUGGCAAGGAAUGGGGAGGUUUUGCUGGGUGCAUCAACCCAUCGGCUGUGAUAUCCCAGAAGCCAAAUACACCGUCGCCCGCCUGCACCUGUCAGACACAGCUCUUCAGAGAAAACAGAGCGCUCGGUCUGCAUUGUUAGAAAAACGAAAAUGUGACAAAUAAAUGACAAUAAAUGUGUCUUAUGUGUUAUCUAGAUUUCCAGUCAGUAACAACUUAACCUGAGAUCCUUACGGGGUAAUGCAGGAAACGUUACAGUAGAAUGUUUGUUGAGAACAGCGGUACAGUUAGAUAUACAGUUACAUACAGCUUUGUCCCAUAAAAGUAAAUCCAAUUAAACUAAUAUUAAGUCUAUAUUUUCGUGAGAUGUACAGAUUUCAUUCCAUCAUCUUGCUUUCCUUUCCCCACAAUUCGUGCAUUAUAUUGUGGUCUCUUUACAUAUCUGGUCUUGUCUCAGUGUAUCUACACUCUUUUUAUGUUCUCCCCUCAUCUUUUUACCCCCCCCCCCCCCCCCUGCCCAAUUCUCUCCCCUGGAUACUUCUAUAAUCCAUCUGCAUACUGCAAUGGCAUCCUCCCUGGCAUCUUCACUGACAUCCUCACUGAGCUCCUCACUGGCAUCUUCAUUGACAUCCUCCCUGAGCUCCCCACUGGCAUCUUCACUGGCAUCCUCCCUGAGCUCCUCACUGGCAUCUUCACUGGCAUCCUCCCUGGCAUCUUCACUGGCAUCCUCCCUGAGCUCCUCACUGGCAUCUUCACUGGCAUCCUCCCUGGCAUCUUCACUGACAUCCUCCCUGAGCUCCUGACUGGCAUCUUCACUGGCAUCUUUACUGACAUCCUCCCUGAGCUCCUCCCUGGCAUCUUCAUUGACAUCCUCCCUGAGCUCUUCACUGGCAUCUUCACUGGCAUCCUCAAUGACAUCCUCAAUGGCAUUGUCUUGUCACCGGCAUCGUCACCAACAAUCUAACUGGAAUCUUUACUGCCAUCCUCACUGCCAUCCUCCCUUCCCACGCUUGGCAAAGCAGGUGCUGUUUUUUGCCCCUUCCUGUGUAAAGUAAGCCCUGGAAAGUUUAAUUGUCUGUCUCAUAGCCAUGGAGCUAAUCUUUUGGAUAUUAUUGUAAGCCUCCCUGCUUCUUUGUUCAAUAUCUCCACAUUUUUCCUUGUGCAAUCUAUUUCUAUAUCUUUUGUGAAAACACAUAACGUUUUAUUUCUGCCCAGUUUAGAAACUACGAAUAUAGUUAUUGUCCACUUGGGGAAAAUGUAACAAGCUUUAAAACACCAAUCAUCUCACUAUAAUUCUAUAAAUUGGUGCCAAAAAUAGCUAAUUUACAUCUUUAGAGCUGCGAUACUUAGUCUCCAUCAGGUCAUUGGUAAAUCUCUGUCCCUUUAGUCGCAACAGUUGAAGCAGUGACAUUUCAGGGUUGAACAGCGAGUGUCUCACUCAAUGUGUACAGACAAUACGAAGCAGGUAAACACCCUUGUGGUUUACUGAUAACCAGCUCCAGCCACUGAGCACCACAACUUGUGCACAAGUAAUUACAGGUAUUUCAUAUAUUUACAGUAGUUUAACCCAUAUUUAGAUAAGAUUAUUAAUUGGUAAUCUAGUCAUUUUUCACAAUUCCUACAUUCCUAUUUAUGAAUAUGCUAUUCCGCUAAUAUCUUCAGUCAGUAAACAGCAGCACAAUGCUCACACAAGCCCAACCAAGGAGUGUUACUAUGUGAGCAACUCUAUUGAUGGAAGGGAAACCACCACAACCCAGUGCGGCAUGGCACAAGCUGAACAGAGGCGGGAGAAGGAUGAACACAUUAUUAGAAGGAGAACUGCAGUAUCAGCAGGUUGAGGUUUAAUGAACGCCAGCUUUAUUAAUCACAUUUGCUCAUUUACUCCCUGUGUGGUCCCAAGUUCAACUGUUCCCACUUGAUCACACCUCUUAACCCGUUCCAAUGAUUUCGACACGGACAUGAUUUAGUGUAGAGUUUAUCCUUGAAUGCAUCAGUAAGUUUUAAGCUGCCUUUUUCUUCCCGUGUCACAUUUGGAGCUCUGCGAUGACCAUUUCUGUGACCAACAUUCACCCCGCAGUGAAGAGCUGAGAACGGUUUAAACUGCCAUGCUUAGCCAUUUUUUUCAUCUUCUCAAUGUCUCACAUGAACAACUAAGUCACUGAACACUAUGGAUUUUAUCAAGAGGGAGAGAGAAUGUCUGAAAACGAAGAAAAGAAAAGAAGACGCAUUUGUUGGGGACUAUUUACUGCAUGUGUUGCUCUAGUGAGAGUUUUGGCAGCAGGACGGUGAAUCGGGAAUCAGGAACAUUUAUGUGGGACUCAAUAAAUCUCAGUGUGAGUGUCGAUGGUAAUAAGGGAACAUAUACUAAGGAGCGUUGAUGUGUUUUAAUAUAUUUAGGAGCUCAAUGGGCUUGAUGGUAUUGUUCUUUCUGUGAGUUAAAAAGGGGUGAUGGAAAGCUGUGGUUCAUUCCAUCUGAUGUUGUAUUUUGGGCUAUAAAAAUAAGUAAAGUAAAAAAUAUAGUUAUUAAUCAUCAAUCUGUUAGCAUUGUCAUUUUAGCAUGUUGAGAUUAGCGUUUAGCUUGAGAGCCGCACACAUCUGUCAGCAUCACUUGUAUCACUAAACCCUUUUACUCUUCUCUGUUUAUGACUUUAAUUCAUGGACAAUGUGAAUGGUACAUUUAAAAAAUGUGUAUUGCAUGAACACACAGAACAUUUAGAAAGAUCUUGAUAAUGGACUUACAUUAAGGUGGUUUUGUAAAUCAACAUUGUACGUACAGGCUGAGAGAAGUUCUUUCUCUCCUGAAAUCUAUAUUCAGAAUGACCAACUCCAGGCAACGAACACUGCGUAUCAGCUUUGUCUUUCACUGUGUCUGUCUGACGUCCAUUUCUUAUUUCGGCCUCUGUCUUCCCAAGUGACUCUUGAGCUUGCGUUGUCCUUGUCCCCCCUGUUUAGAGAAACAAACCAUAAAGUUUUCCCUCUGCUUUCAACAGGAAGAAAAUCUGUUUUCCAUUUUCUUUUUUUCUGUCUGGGUCCUGCUGUUUUUCUCUCCCGCCCCUUCUCCCCCCUUCAUCUUCCCCUCCUCCCUCCCUUUCUCUGCUUUUGCUGGCUCUGCUCUCAUUCCUGCCUCCUCCCCCCUCAGCUCCUCCAGUCCUCUGUCUUCCCUCUGGAGAAUAGGGGUCAUUGCACAAAUGAUUACUCAGACCCCCGUUGCCAUGGCGAUGCUGCCACGUAACGGGCGACCGGCACGGAGCGCAGCAGAGAAGCCGAUUAGUAAGCGGGCGAUGGAGGAAGCGAGCGCCGCCUUUGUGUAGCUCCGCUUCGCCUCUGUUUCUUUCAAAUAGCUUGUGUCCUUCCGUGUGUUUUAAAGCCGGAGGAGGGUGGAGGGGGAGACGGAGAGCAGAGGAGCAGGAAGGAGCCUGCACACAUUCUGCUCACCGCCCUCCGGCUUUGUCUCCUUCUCCUGCUCGCCUGGUCUGUCUGAACGAGGCCUGCUGUUGGUUCAGCCCAGCAGACUCUCUUCUGUUCCGGCCACAGCCCAGAGUUCUCAGAUGGAAAACGUGCGCGUGAACAACAACAUUUUCAACAACAAAAUAUUUUUUCGUUCCGCACGACAAACGAAGGCGAUCUUGCUCGUCAUUGUUUAGGAAGUCCCCAUCCGUCCUUUCUGCAGAGGGAACUAUGGAAGCCCAUGUAAGCCUUUUUAAGGUUAGACUCACACGAGAUGAGAAAGAAACCUGUGCAGUCUAAGCAUGCAGAAGUGCUUGACUUUGUUUGGACAUAUGGUUCCUGGACAGAGGAUGUCGCAUGUGUACAGACUGUACAUUUUUAAUUCAGGGCAAAUCAAAACAAAAUAAAUUGACUUGAAUUGAUGGAGAUGAACAGUCUCAUAACACAUGCGUCCUUGUGAGAUUACAGCCAAAGGUCAAAUGGGACAAAGAUUGUUAAUAAAAGUGUUUUCUUUGAUUUGGAAAAAUUAAACAAAGUAAAGAUUGGAAGCAUGUUGCCGUCUCAGACUUUAACGCGACAGAAUUGAAUAAAAUUCAACAAUACCUUAAACUUAAGUUGGUUUCUAAUGUGUUAGUUUUUUCCCUUUGAUUGUG